AUGCGUUGCUACAGGGUAACAGUGUCGAUCUGUGCAUACGCCGUCCGAUGCUCCCACGCCGCUUCCAUCUGCCUGUCCACGUGUAUUCGCUCCACACCCAUCCUGUUGCCCUAACUAAUCCCCGACUUCCGAUCCCUGCCGCCGCUUAUUCCAGUUGAGGAGAGAAAUCGAGAAUCAUGCCUUCCCACGGCGCCCGACGACGGUCGCUGCCUUUCUUCCCAUCCUCCUCUCCUCUCGAUCUCCCUCUUGCCACCCAUACGCCGCCUGCUCAUGGAGCCUGUAGCUAGCCGCCGCCUUCCCCUCGGGCUCGCCAAGCUGUAGCCGCUGCUUUCCUCUCAAGCUCGCUGGACCAGCCGCUGCCGCCACCGCCGUGCGGAGCCAGUGGUUACCAUCGUCGUCUUCCCAUCAAGCAAGCGGCGACUGCCGCCGCCUUCUUGCGAGUUCGAUGUCCACUGCUGCCGCCAUUUCAUCUCCUUCCCCAUCCCACGCGGACUUGGUUCUGCAAGAUCUGUGCCGCAUCGAGCACCCACAAGCACGCGGUAACCAAAAGGCCUGGAGCUAUUUUUGGAAGCACAAACGUAAGGAUCACAUAUGUACGUUACUACCUUUUCCUGCAAAUACAUAUACACCACUUGGAUGUACAUACCCAUUCUGCCUUGCUUUACAUGUUAAUUAACUUGAUUGAGCAAAUGUUUGCUGCAUUGAUCGGCCGGUGCCUCAAAGUACAAUGAGUAAGUGACUGAAGGUAAUUCAUUAGCCUUUUAUGUCUAUAUAUGACCAUAAAAAUGUAUGCAGGGUGCAUCAGUCAAGCAAAAAGUAUAUGGCAAUGGCACAUUUCUUAGGGAAGGGAUUUAUGAGUUCAAUGUCAAAAUCCUCUCUAUCAGUUGCUUAUGUAGCUAAAAAUAGGGAAGCAAUAUAUUUAUAUUCACAGGAUACUCUAUGAGUUCAACAUCAAAGUUAUUUAUAGUCACAUGUUUCUUAUAUUCUAAAUCCAUAUGUUGUUGAUAUGUGUUCUCCAAUUGAUCUGAAUGCAGAUUAUCCUAUCAUAACAUUAACAACGUUGGACCAUACUUUUGGUGGGUGCUGCAUGCAGUUAUUAUUAUCAAAGCCAUGAAAGGUUCAAGGCUUCCAGCUGCUUGGCAAUUGCUCUUCAGGAUUUCUCUACCUAUUAACUGUUAUUGCCUGGCAUGGGCGCAUAGAAGAGACCACAAUAUGAGGCAAACAUUGGACCAUAGCUAACAUAACUGAAUAUGUGAUGCCACUUUCACUGAUGCUUCUAUGACCACCAGUGCGGUGUGGGAUAUGCAUGCUCUUCAUUACUGUAUAUGGUAUGCUCUUCAUGAAGAUAUGGGGUAUCCAUAAUCUCCACAGUAGCCUCCGAGACCUUCGCAGUUGACGAAACAACCUUCUCGAAACAAAAACCAGUAGUCCGAGUGCUUUAAUUCAACUUGCUCCAGCUUGUCGAGUACUAAAAAUCAAAAACUGUGAAUGGCGAAAAUAAAACAUGGUGCAUCGAGUAGAUGCACCUAAUUAGGUGUAGCCCCCGACUAUGUGAUUAGUUGAAAAACUAAACAUAUAGUCAAGAACCGAGUGGUUUUAUAGCGAAGCACGCAUGGUACUUAGUAAGAUACCCAGCCGACUGCUUCUCAACUUGAAUAUAUCAAGGACAAAAAAUACAAGAAGGGCCGAGUGACAAACACUCAAAAGGCCCAAAAAUAGAUAUAUUUGGUAGGAAUCCGAGCAAGAAACUCUUAAAAUGAUCCACCAAACAUAACAGAAAAUCAUGGUAAUUAAUGAGUCUAACAGCCUGAGCUGUAACCCUUACCAUAACCAAAAUAAGCAUAUAACAUGCUAGUAGAAUGACUACUAAUAAACCAGUCAUCUUAAAUUAACCCAACAGCUCUUGUAGCCUAAAAAAGCUUACAAAAAUGGUAUAACACCUUUCUGUCGGGCACCUUUUCAUGUGCAUCAUAAUAAUUCCAAAGAAUUAUUGAAUCGCGUUAAAAAGGAUUUUAACAACAUCGGGCCACAUCAUUGUGAGCACAUAUUGCCAAAGCAAAAAGCGCCUAAGUCCCUAGGGAUCACAACGGGCCACGCUGAAAACAUAAUUGGGCUGAAGUACUGUACAGGCCCAGGCCCAUUAGUACUCCCGAUAACCUAAUAAUACUGAAGUGAAAAACGUCUCUUCGUCUUCCCCACCGAGACUCUCGCCAUUUUCCCCAUUUCCUGCUACAGUGCAAAACUGCGCCGGACAAACUAGGGUUCAUCAAUCCGCUCCAAUCCACCCACAAAAACUUCACAAGAUUUCUCCCCGCAUCCACCGCUCCGAUUCCCCCAUCCCUUUCCAGCCAUAUCUCGAACUAAAUCAAUCCAUCCAGUUCACAUUCAUGGCGGAAGAAAGAGAAAGCUUCGAGAGUCAGUGGGCGCCCUCCGAUGUGACGGAAGACAAUCUGAAGGAGAUGGUGGCACACGGCGUUCUUCCAGCAAAAGAGAUCAUCGGGUGGCGACCGGCAUUUGGUGAGGUAUUCCCGACCCCCGAUACACACGAAAUCGUGGUAUUUGCUCAUUUCUUCUAUGGCGGAUUUUCUCUUUCAACUUCGAGAUUUUUCCGGGGCAUUCUGAACUUCUACGGGAUUAGCUUGCAUCACUUGAAUCCAAACUCCAUAGUACAUAUUGCCAAUUUCAUCCACGCUUGCGAAGCUUUUCUGGGCAUUAGGCCUCAUUUCGCCUUGUUCCGCCGCAUAUUCUUCCUCAAGCCCCAACCAAACAAAAACAAGCCGUGCGUUGUUGGGGGAGCUGGUUUCCAACUCAGAGGAACCUUGAGCCAAAAAUAUUUCUCCAUGCCCUUCAAAACCUCGAACAAAGGCUGGCAUGCGAACUGGUUCUAUGUUCAGAAUCCUGAGCCCGCACUUCCCGAGUACUGCUGUCUUCCUCCGGUUUACCAGGACACAUGGAACUCAUUGCCUAUGGGAGAUGAAGCUGCUCAGGCAGUAGAACUGAUGGAGAGGAUGAUAAAGCUGAAAGAACAGGGUCUUCAAGGAGAGCAGAUCACCCGGCACUUUAUCAAGUGUCGGUUAGCUCCAAUCAAAGAAAGAUCACGCACAGCUUUUGAGUUUGAUGGCAAGCAUGAUCCAAAUCGGGAAGAUCCAGAUUCUCUUGACUUUAAGGUCAUGAAAGAAAGAAUGUACAAAAUCUUCUCAAACGCUAUUGUUGUCAGCUAUUCAUAUCUGUUGCCCGUUGUGCCAUUCAACGCAUUCAACCCUCCUCCACCAGUAUGCACUCAAACAUUUCAUCCUUCCCCAAAAUGCGAUCUUGCUUUCCUGUUGAAUCAAUUAACAAUGAAAGAUAUUACACCCAGGAAUUUGCUUUGAUGAAGUCGGAUCCCCCAAUCGCUCAACGCCGAUCUCCCCGCCACUAAACUGGGCAAGGGAGCGAAGGACCAAGAAUUCGGUCUGAACCUCAACCAAGUGCUUCUGAUCCAGUCGGCCAGUCAGACUCUCGAAAGAGGAAGCUGGUUUUAAGUGACGACGAAGCCGAUGAUACUGCCAGGCGGCCUGGAGACCGAGAGACAACCAAGAAACUACCAAAACAGGCUACUCCAAGGAAGAAAACCACCAGUCGCCCUGCGCCAAAGAUCAGGAAGUCUUCUAGGAAACCAUCUGAUAUAGAUCCGUCUGGGAAAGAUUCUGACCCGACUAGCAUGGACGCAAGUUCUUCCAAAGAAACCGGGCCAACUGCCGAGGACCGUCCGAGUGACAAUCAGCCGGCAACCGAUAACGUAGGAUCCGGUGAUCAACCCCUGACUGGAAACCAGUCGGCCGAAGCCGAAGCCAGAGUUAAUCAGGAGCCCCCGACUAGAAACCAGUCGGACGCAGGGCCAAGCCAAGAGAUUCCAGAAGUCGGAGCUCAAGCAAACAGCCUUCGCGGUCAAGACGCCAGCAAUAACCAGAGAUCUGGAUCUCCUUUAAAGGCAUCCGAAUCCACUCGUCCUCGUCCAGAAAUCAUUACGGGGCCAAUGAUCAGUGAUGAAGAAGAAAUUCCCCGCAUACAAGCAGCUGAGGGUUCACGCCCUCCGAUUCUGGUCAAGUGGUGGGAUGACAACAUGCAGCCUCAAGGGAUCGUGAUAAAUAAGCAAAAAGAGGACGAAGAGUUAUGCCUACUGAAGAAGGCACUUAGUUAGGCAACCCGUAUGGUAAAUAGGAUUCAUCUUAGGAACGAAGUUAAAACGGCAACCUUAGAGAGGCUAGUCCCUCAUCUCGGGACCCUCGAAGCCACCAGGAGUCUGCUGCACGAAACAAAAGAGCUUGCCAGGAAAAAUGAGCAUGAUCUGAGGAAUCGAAUUGCCGAGCUCCAGGAAUCCAAUUUUGAACUGAGUGGCUCAUCAAAAGUGCAAGCUGCCAAGAUAUCUCAGUUGGAGAAGCAAAUUCAAACUCUGGGAAACGACAAGGCAGAACUGGCAAGACAAAAAGACCUGGCUUUAAAGGAAGUUGAAGACUGCAAGAUCAAAUCUCAAGCUCAAUUCGACGUCCUGGUUGGCAAGAUCAAAAAACUUGAAGGAGCCCGGGAUGAGGUUGCUAACGCUGCUGCCCCAAUAGUUCAAGCGAUGUUCCUCAAUAACAACGGCCCUAGUGCACUUGAUGCUUCUGAAAUUUUCGACAAGCUGAGAGUUGCUCCGGAUAUAUAUUUCAAGAACAUCAAAGAAGCUGGAAGUAUGGGAGCAAGCAUGGCAUUGGCGAUGACUAAAUCCCUUUAUCCGAGAGUUGAUAUUGACGCCAUUGAUGGCUUUGCAGACGGGACGAGCGAACAAGCUGCUCUUGACCUCAUCAGUAAUGCGCAGAAAGCGGCUGACAAAAUUGCUGCUGAUGUAGUUGAGAGAUUUCAGGACACCGAUCUUCGACCGACUAGUCUUGAUAUUUCUGAUGAUGAAAAGACUGAUACUGAUUAAUGUACCGAUAAUCUUGAUGAUUAAUGAUGAUGGAGGCACAAUUUGUAAAAUACUGAUGAAUUUAUGCUGUGCUUGAUAUCUUAACUUAGCUCCUGAUUUCUUAAAA